rnacentral:rRNA from 1 species
UACGUAGGGUGCGAGCGUUGUCCGGAAUUAUUGGGCGUAAAGAGCUCGUAGGCGGUGUGUCACGUCGGCCGUGAAAACCUGCAGCUUAACUGUGGGCGUGCGGUCGAUACGGGCAUCACUGGAGUUCGGCAGGGGAGACUGGAAUUCCUGGUGUAGCGGUGAAGUGCGCAGAUAUCAGGAGGAACACCGGUGGCGAAGGCGGGUCUCUGGGCCGAUACUGACGCUGAGGAGCGAAAGCGUGGGGAGCAAACAGG